rnacentral:rRNA from 1 species
UACGUAGGGGGCUAGCGUUGUCCGGAAUCAUUGGGCGUAAAGCGCGUGUAGGCGGUCCGGUAAGUCCGCUGUGAAAGUCGGGGGCUCAACCCGUGGGAUGCCGGUGGAUACUGCUGGACUAGAGUGCGGAAGAGGCGAGUGGAAUUCCCGGUGUAAGCGGUGAAAUGCGUAGAGAAUCAUGAGGAAGACCAGUGGCGAAGGCGGGUCGUCUGGACAGGUUCCUGACACUGAGGCACGAAGGCCAGGGGAGCAAACGGG